rnacentral:tRNA from 1 species
GGCUCUAUACUUUAAUAUAAAAGAUUUGAUUUGCAAUUAAAAAUUGAGGAAACUCUAGAACCA